rnacentral:rRNA from 1 species
AGAACGAACGCUGGCGGCAUGCCUAACACAUGCAAGUCGAACGUGAUCCAGGCUUCGGCCUGGUGAAAGUGGCAGACGGGUGAGUAACGCGUGGGAACCUGCCCUGUGGUAGGGAAUAACCGUGGGAAACUGCGGCUAAUACCCUAUGAGUCCUUCGGGAGAAAGAUUUAUCGCCAUAGGAGGGGCCCGCGUCGGAUUAGGUAGUUGGUGGGGUAACGGCCUACCAAGCCUUCGAUCCGUAGCUGGUCUGAGAGGAUGAUCAGCCACACUGGGACUGAGAUACGGCCCAGACUCCUACGGGAGGCAGCAGUGGGGAAUAUUGGACAAUGGGGGGCAACCCUGAUCCAGCAAUGCCGCGUGGAUGAUGAAGGCCUUCGGGUUGUAAAGUCCUUUCGGCGGGGAAGAUGAUGACGGUACCGCAGAAGAAGCCCCGGCUAACUUCGUGCCAGCAGCCGC